ACCAAACACAGAGGUUUUCACUAAAAAUAGGACAAAAUUACCCUUCUUUAAGAAUCCACAUUUACAAGAUCUGUAAAUAUUGCCGGCUUCAUCAUCUCAUUCAAGAGGCGGCGACAAUCUUCUAGAAACGGCAACGACGAUCUCCUAGAAGCGGCGGCGGCGAUCUCCAUUCCUCUGCUCUACUAUCCUUCCUUUCUCUGCUCCGAUGUCCUUCGCUCCUCUACUCUAUUGUCUUUUGUUCCGCGCGUUCCGCCAAACCUUUGUCCAUCCACUUCGUCGUUCCACUGCUCCUCCGUUCAAUCGUUUUUCAUCAAUGUUGGUCCUGGCAUCGUUGGUGCCUCUCGCUCACACUAUCAGAAAGAAUUUCAUGUCACUGAGGAAUAUUGAUCCAGAAGAAGAAAAGUUGUGGUCUCUAAUAUGCAUCAAGACAAGGCUCCCGUUCCUGAUGGGUUAAACCCCAAGUUUUUUCAGAAAUAUUAUUUGGUUAUACCAUAUAAUAACUCUGUAGCAUUUCAAGAUGGAUUCCGUUCCAAUCUUGAUUAUGGCAUACUGCCAUGUAUAUUCAGGGUGAAUAUUGAGAAUCAACUCUUGCUGGUUGUGUUAUUGAUUUUUAAAAUAUUGGAUUAUAUGUUUUGGUUCAUGUUCUCUGUUUUGUCAAAAAUAAUAAAAACAUAUGGUUGAUUUUCGGUUGAUAUUUAGUUAAU